GCUUGCUUCUCUUGAGAGCGGCGGACGGGUGAGUAAUGCCUAGGAAUCUGCCUGGUAGUGGGGGAUAACGUCCGGAAACGGACGCUAAUACCGCAUACGUCCUACGGGAGAAAGCAGGGGACCUUCGGGCCUUGCGCUAUCAGAUGAGCCUAGGUCGGAUUAGCUAGUUGGUGGGGUAAUGGCUCACCAAGGCGACGAUCCGUAACUGGUCUGAGAGGAUGAUCAGUCACACUGGAACUGAGACACGGUCCAGACUCCUACGGGAGGCAGCAGUGGGGAAUAUUGGACAAUGGGCGAAAGCCUGAUCCAGCCAUGCCGCGUGUGUGAAGAAGGUCUUCGGAUUGUAAAGCACUUUAAGUUGGGAGGAAGGGCAGUAAAUUAAUACUUUGCUGUUUUGACGUUACCGACAGAAUAAGCACCGGCUAACUCUGUGCCAGCAGCCGCGGUAAUACAGAGGGUGCAAGCGUUAAUCGGAAUUACUGGGCGUAAAGCGCGCGUAGGUGGUUCGUUAAGUUGGAUGUGAAAUCCCCGGGCUCAACCUGGGAACUGCAUUCAAAACUGACGAGCUAGAGUAUGGUAGAGGG
rnacentral:rRNA from 1 species